rnacentral:lncRNA from 1 species
CUUAUAUCCAAGCCAUAACAGAUCCCUUUUUAAAAAAUUUCCUCUCUCCACACAUGACAGAAAACAUUUGAGCCUUGACUUUCUGAACCUGGCUCAUUUCACUUAGCAUGAUGUUCUCCAGUUCCACCUAUUUACCAGCAAAUGCCAUAAUUUCAUUUGUGGCUUUUAUGGUUGAAUCAAACUCCAUCAUGUGUAUAUACCACAUUUCUUUAUCUGUUCAUCUAUGACAGGCACCUGGUCUGGUGUCAUAACUUGGCUAUUGUGAAUGACACUGUUAUAGACAUUGGAAUGCACAGAACACACUUUUUAAAUCAGUAAUCUGCUUAAUUAGACAAGUGGAACUUAUUUGGAACCAACUGUAAUAAGUAUGAUUUUCCAUAAAAAAUAUGUGCCAAUUUAUCCAUUUCUUGGAGCUUGAUUUCCCAGCACUUUAGAAUGGCUUGUACAAUGAAGACUAGGGUAGAUUGCAGAAGAGAGGGGACAUUCACACACUUGAAAUCCUAGAGAAUUCUUGAGAGGCCUUGAAUCUGAGGUAGCAUUAGGUCACAGUGUAGGAACUCUGGAACAGCCGGUUCAUACCCUAAAUUGCCCUUGCAGCCAAGACAGGCAGAAUAUAGAAGAAAGACGUAGUUUCUACAUGUCUAACCAAGUCCCAAGUCUCAAGGAAAGAAGAUUACUCCUGGAUCCAAAAUGUCUAGUACUCACCACUGCUCUAAAGUCCUACAACUGAAGCUACAGAAUGGAAGGAAAAAAAAAAAUCUUGGGUAGCUGGUAGCCCUGGCACAUGGCUGUAUAAUCCCAGAGACUGGGGAGGCUAUAAAGGACUGGGUAAAACACCCCUUGGUUAAAUCUCCAGUAUUUUAAAAAAAAGAAAAAAUCAUGAGCAAAAACACAAACAACCUCUGUGACUCUGGUGGUCCUAUGUUAUCCUCACAUUCUUGUCCUUGAAUAAGACAAGAUCUAACUUUAACUGUACUGCAUCAUGGCAAUAAUGAGGUAUCUGUCAAUUAUGAUGUUACAUUAAGAAGGCAUUACAGGGGCUG